GAGUUUCUCAAGAUAAUAAUAAAAGAGGAAGAAGAAGCUGAGGAUGAUGGUUACCUUUGUGAAGGAACAUCGACGUCUGUGGACCAACAGAAGGGAAAACCUAAAGAUAAAGAUGAACCCAAAUUAAACACUACGGUGUUGCAGGAUUUCUUCUGCUCUCUGUGUCCA